rnacentral:rRNA from 1 species
UUGCAAGUAACUUCGCCAGAUGAUUCGAUGUCAGCUUACGAGAUUCUUCAUUUUGUUCCAGAUGUAUAUUGCUAUCCAAAUGUUUUUGUUGCCUAUCAAAUCCUCUUAACGGUACAAGUGACAAUAGCCUCAGCUGAUUUUUUUUCUAAAGUGAAACUACUGAAAAAUCGGUUGAGGUCAACUAUGUUAUAA